GAGACUCGUGGUCUGGUUCUUGGACUUGCCUAACAGCAUGGCUCCUAAACGCCAGUCUCCACUCCUGCCUCAAAAGAAGAAACCAAGACCACCACGUGCUUUGGGACCAGAGGAGACAUCGGCCUCUGCAGGCUUGCCAAAGAAGGGAGAAAUAGAACAGCAAGAGCAAUUGAACACAUUGAUGAAGUACAAAAUGAGAUAGACUUAAUGAACAAGCCAGUGAGGAGAUUUUGAAAGUAGAACAGAAAUAUAACAAACUCCGCCAACCAUUUUUUCAAAAGAGGUCAGAGUUGAUCACCAAAAUCCUAAAUUUUUGGGUAACAUUUGUCAACCAUCCACAAAUGUCUGCACUGCUUGGGGAGGAAGACGAAGAGGCACUGCAUUAUUUGACCAGAGUUGAAGUGACAGAAUUUGAAGAUAUUAAAUCAGGUUACAGAACAGAUUUUUAUUUUGAUGAAAAUCCUUACUUUGAAAAUAAAGUUCUCUCCAAAGAAUUACAUCUGAAUGAGAGUGGUGGUCCAUCUUCAAAGUCCACCGAAAUCAAAUGGAAAUCUGGAAAGGAUUUGAUGAAAUGUUCAAGUCAAAUGCAGAAUAAAGUCAGCAGGAAGAGGCAGCAUGAGGAACCAGAGAGCUUCUUUACUUGGUUUACUGACCAUUCUGAUGCAGGUGCUGAUGAGUUAGGAGAGGUCAUCAAAGAUGAUAUUUGGCCAAACUCAUUACAGUACUACUUGGUUCCUGAUAUGGAUGAUGAAGAAGGAGAAGAAGAAGAUGAUGAUGAUGAAGAGGAGGAAGGAUUAGAAGAUAUUGAUGAGGAAGGGGAUGAGGAUGAAGGUGAUGAAGAUGAUGAUGAAGGGGAGGAAGGAGAGGAAGAUGAAGGAGAAGAUGACUAAUAGAACACUGAUGGAUUCCAACCUUCCUUUUUUUAAAUUUUCUCCAGUCCCUGGGAGCAAGUUGCCGUCUUUUCUUUUUUUUUUUUUUUUCCUCUUGUGCUCAGUCGCCCAGUUCUUGAGGUCUCUUUUCUGUACUCCAUGGUUCUCAACUUAUUUGGGGGGAAAUACCUUGAGCAGAAUACAAUGGGAAAAGAGUCUCUACCUCUUUCUGUUCGAAGUUCAUUUUUAUCCCUUCCUGUCUGAACAAAAACUGUGUGGAAUCAACACCACCGAGCUCUGUGGGAAGAAAGAAAACCCUGCUCCCUU